AAAUUCAAUGACCGAAUCUGCUAACCGGGUGUAUGUUUCCAUUUUAUUUAAUUUUUUCACUUAUUUGCGAAAUAACAACUUCACAAGAAAUUUUUGGAAGUAUCACUAUGAGAGACUGACUCAAAAGAAGCCGAUUUUCCAACCGUAAAGGUAGCACACGAAGAAAAUCCUAUGUCAAGGUGUCGGUGUUCGUGUGUGUGUUUUUGCUGUUGAUGCUGGAAGCUCCUUUGGUUGCUUUGUGCAAAAAUUUUGUAGCUGCUGCUGCAAUGUACGGAUCCUCGGAUUGGCUCAAAAAGCUGGGCGCUGGCAAGUGGAAAAUGUUACGGCGUUGAAGGACCAGUAUGUUAAACCGGCACAACGCUUGGACAAAGUUGUGGCCGAUUUAAUUUAUUGGAAUGAAAAACAAAGCAAAACGUUACCUUUUAUUGAUACGGGAACACGGUGGCUGGAACACGUCCUCUUGACUUCACUCUCGGAAAACAAAUAAGUGACCGGUUGAAAUUUCUUCUUACUGUUGCCUGUCGAACUGUAUAUUUACCGAAGGGACAUUUUAGCAUAAGUAACAUAGUGGUAAACAGUUCGACAGUUGACAUAAUAAUGAAGUUAUGUUAAGCAUUAGGGUGGGUCGAAAAUGCUGCGACAAACUUAGGC